CUGCCGUGGGCGCUGGAGAACUGAGGGGGGCUGCUCCUAGUACGAGAGGACCGGAGUGGACGCAUCACUGGUGUUCGGGUUGUCAUGCCAAUGGCACUGCCCGGUAGCUAAAUGCGGAAGAGAUAAGUGCUGAAAGCAUCUAAGCACGAAACUUGCCCCGAGAUGAGUUCUCCCUGACCCUUUAAGGGUCCUGAAGGAACGUUGAAGACGACGACGUUGAUAGGCCGGGUGUGUAAGCGCAGCGAUGCGUUGAGCUAACCGGUACUAAUGAACCGUGAGGCUUAACCUUACAACGCCGAAGCUGUU
rnacentral:rRNA from 1 species